rnacentral:rRNA from 1 species
AGAGUUUGAUCAUGGCUCAGAUUGAACGCUUGCGGCAUGCCUUACACAUGCAAGUCGAACGGCAGCACGGGUGCUUGCACCUGGUGGCGAGUGGCGAACGGGUGAGUAAUACAUCGGAACGUACCUUAUCGUGGGGGAUAACGCAGCGAAAGUUGCGCUAAUACCGCAUACGCCCUGAGGGGGAAAGCGGGGGACCGUAAGGCCUCGCGCGAUUAGAGCGGCCGAUGUCUGAUUAGCUUGUUGGUGAGGUAAAAGCUCACCAAGGCGAUGAUCAGUAGCUGGUCUGAGAGGACGAUCAGCCACACUGGGACUGAGACACGGCCCAGACUCCUACGGGAGGCAGCAGUGGGGAAUUUUGGACAAUGGGGGCAACCCUGAUCCAGCAAUGCCGCGUGAGUGAAGAAGGCCUUCGGGUUGUAAAGCUCUUUUGUCAGGGAAGAAACAGCAGCUCUAACACAGUCUGCGAAUGACGGUACCUGAAGAAUAAGCACCGGCUAACUACGUGCCAGCAGCCGCGGUAAUACGUAGGGUGCGAGCGUUAAUCGGAAUUACUGGGCGUAAAGCGUGCGCAGGCGGUUAUACAAGACAGGCGUGAAAUCCCCGGGCUUAACCUGGGAAUGGCGUCUGUGACUGUAUAGCUAGAGUGUGUCAGAGGGGGGUGGAAUUCCACGUGUAGCAGUGAAAUGCGUAGAUAUGUGGAGGAACACCAAUGGCGAAGGCAGCCCCCUGGGAUAACACUGACGCUCAUGCACGAAAGCGUGGGGAGCAAACAGG